GCAUAGCACAGUUGAUAGAGCAUGAGACUCGUAAGGUCAGGGUUGUGGGUUCGAGCCCCACAUUAGACG